UGAGUUAUACUGAUCCUGCGAUCUCUCUUGUGCUACCCUAUUUAGAAGAUCUAUGUGUGAAUGCAUGCCCGAGAUUGACUACCGAUCAGCAACUUUACCAUUGCGAUUGAAAUACACUACUAAGCAGCCAACUCCAAAUGUAUUUUCAACUUCUACCAGAUUGAGAUCUCCAGCAGAUCGAUUUGAUCUGUCUGAGACUUCAAGGGUGAGUGGAGCUGAAUGUUCUAAAAGAGGUGGUCUGAGUGUUAAUUGCUGAGAACAACUGGUUCAAUCAGCCUGACUACAGUUCAUAAGUCAAUGUUUAAAAUUACUUAGUUCCGCAGAUAUUCCUGCAUAUAUGUACAGUCUAUGAACGUCUGCUGCUAUGUAUGCGGUGUAUUCUGUUGAUGAUGUGAAAUGGUCUUCAUGUAAUUGCCGGGUUCUUUGUUAUUA